CCUACGGGAGGCAGCAGUGGGGAAUUUUCCACAAUGGGCGCAAGCCUGAUGGAGCAACGCCGCGUGUGUGAUGAAGGUUUUCGGAUCGUAAAGCACUUUCGACCGGGACGAAAAACCUCUGGCUAACAUCCAGAGGCCUGACGGUACCGGGAGAAGAAGCACCGGCUAACUCUGUGCCAGUAGCCGCGGUAAUACAGAGGGUGCAAGCGUUGUUCGGAAUUAUUGGGCGUAAAGCGCGUGUAGGCGGCUUAGCAAGUCAGAUGUGAAAGCCCUCGGCUUAACCGAGGAAGUGCGUCUGAAACUGCUGAGCUUUAGUGUCGGAGAGGAUGGCGGAAUUCCGCAAGUAGAGGUGAAAUUCGUAGAUAUGCGGAGGAACACCGGUGGCGAAGGCGGCCAUCUGGACGACUACUGACGCUGAGACGCGAAAGCGUGGGGAGCAAACAGGAUUAGAUACCCUGGUAGUCCACGCCGUAAACGAUGAGAACUAGGUGUCGUGGGUGUUGACCCCCGGNGGUGCCGCNGCUACGACAUUAAGUUACGUCCGCCGUCGGAAGGUACGGCCGCGACGGACGUAAACGUACGAAAGAAGUUAGUACGGACGUGAGACGUAGACCGAACGGACGACGACGAGGGAGGAGGG
rnacentral:rRNA from 1 species